CGCCGGGGUGGCCGAGCGGUCUAAGGCGGCGGGCUGCAGAAACCCGUUUUAUCGCGGGUUCAAAUCCCGCCCCCGGC
rnacentral:tRNA from 1 species